GUUAUGUAUUUCCAAGGAAGUGUCUUUCAUUUUCCAGCUCUGUCUGGAUAAAUAAGUUUCUUUGCUUUACUUUUUAAGAUUUAUUUCCGGUUCACCCUAAAGGUUAUAAUCGCAGGCCUUUCGGGUCCCAAUCUUAUGCAGAUUUCUCUCUAGGUGUGGUCACCAGGAUUUUCAUCUGCCCUCACAUCUAUGUGCUCAACAAUGAAGAAGCUCAAUCAUUUUCAACAGAAAACUUCAAAAUGAAAUCUAGCUUUGUUUUGAGUCUCUGUGGAUUUCUUAUUUUGGUUCUGUCAAGCAAAAUCUUGCUUCAGACCCCAUGGGGGAUGUUCCUCACAACUGCAGGUGGAGGAAGGAAGGGUUGUGUUAAUUAUUUCACAGACAAUGUGUCCUUCAAGAAACUAGAAGAAGCUGGGCUUCCAAAAAUGAGACAGACAUUAGAAGAGCCCAUUUACAAGCAGCAGCAGGAGCAGAAGAAACAGUGAUGUGGAGGAGGUGAUUCACAACUUCCUCUGUGAGGAAAAAGGAACCACGGAGGCCUGAGGUGUCCCCAGGGCCACUAGCCGGCUGUAAAAGGCACUGCUGAUCUGGAAUGGUGCCUCAAUCUUGAACAUUUGAAAUUGCUUCUACUCCAUUGUUAUUUUUAGUAGAGUUGUUUCUUCAAGAAAAUUGCUCCCUGAUCUUGUCUCUCCCUUGCUCUCAGACUAUGUGCAUGUUUUAACACAUUUGGUCAUGAUAGUCUACUUUUCUUAAUCUUAUAGUUGUUACUAUACUGUGAAAAAUGGAAAAUUUGAGUAUGUCGGUUGUAUGAUCUUACAAUGUAAAUUACUGAGACUUGCAAUGCAACAGCUUAUCAAUCCUUGAAGAUAUUUUUAUUUGAUAUCUUCUUAUGGAAUUCUUGUCUGCAAAUCUUAAGCUGAAAAGUCACUAGAAAUCUGUUUAGAAAUGAAUUAAAAAUUACAUUGCUUUUUUCUUGCUAUGUGCACUAAGAAUUGCUGUCAAAUUGUCCAUAAAGUCUGUGUACUGAUUCUCAAAACAACUGAUAAAAUCUUUAUUGUGAAAGGAAAAAAAAAGGGGGGGGGGGAUCUGAACAGGCACCUCAUGAAAGAAGACAUACAGAUGGCACAUAAACUCGUGAAAUGAUUCUCAACACCAUUUGUUACUAGGGUACUGCAAAUUAAAAAAUGAUGAGAUACUACUUCACACCUAUUACAAGGACUAAGAAUCCAGAAAAUUAACAACACUGGCAAGGUUGCAGAGAAACUUUCAUCCAUUGCUGAUGGGAAGACAAAAUGGUACAACCUUUAAAUGACAGCUUUGUAUUUUCCUAUAAAACUAAUUUUACCAUAUAAUUUAGCAAUCUCACUUCCAACUGAGCUGAAAUUUUAUGUCAUACAAAAACCUAUACCUGAAUAUUUAUAGCAUCUUUAUCCAUAAUUGUUAAAAACUAGAAGCAACCAAGAUGUCUUUCAAGACAAAUGUAUGAAUAAACUGUUACACCCUAAAAUGGAAUAUUAUUCA
rnacentral:lncRNA from 1 species